rnacentral:rRNA from 1 species
AGGACGAACGCUGGCGGCGUGCUUAACACAUGCAAGUCGAGCGGUAAGGCCCUUCGGGGUACACGAGCGGCGAACGGGUGAGUAACACGUGGGUGACCUGCCCCCAACUCUGGGAUAAGCCCGGGAAACUGGGUCUAAUACCGGAUAUGACUUCAUGCCGCAUGGUGUGUUGUGGAAAGCCAGUUACAUUGUUUCUGGCGGUUGGGGAUGGGCCCGCGGCCUAUCAGCUUGGUUGGUGGGGUGAUGGCCUACCAAGGCGACGGACGGGUA